UGGGAGGAGCUGAGGAUCGCUUCCCGGUCGAACGGGAAGAGGAAAGUCCGAACACCGCAGGGCGCGAUGCCGUUCAACCUGGCCUUUCGGGGCCGGGGCACGGGCGGAAGGCCGGGCCGAAAGGCGCGGCCGAUGGACAGUGCCACAGAAAACAAACCGCCGGGCUUCGAAAGGGGCGCGGCAAGGGUGAAAAGGCGGGGUAAGAGCCCACCGCCCGCCGAGCGAUCGGCGGGGCACGGAAAACCCCAUCGGGUGCAAGGCCAAAUAGGGAACCUUGGAGUGGCCCGCUCCAUGGCGCAAGCCGGGUUCCGGGUCAGGCCGCUCAGAGUAAUGAUCCUCUCCGCUCUUUCGAGAGCGCAGACAGAAUUCGGCUUACCGCUCCUCCAAAGCC
rnacentral:RNase_P_RNA from 1 species